rnacentral:rRNA from 1 species
CCUACGGGGGGCAGCAGUGAGGAAUAUUGGUCAAUGGACGCAAGUCUGAACCAGCCAUGCCGCGUGCAGGAAGACGGCUCUAUGAGUUGUAAACUGCUUUUGUACGAGGGUAAACGCAGAUACGCGUAUCUGUCUGAAAGUAUCGUACGAAUAAGGAUCGGCUAACUCCGUGCCAGCAGCCGCGGUAAUACGGAGGAUUCAAGCGUUAUCCGGAUUUAUUGGGUUUAAAGGGUGCGUAGGCGGUCGGAUAAGUUAGAGGUGAAAUCCCGAGGCUCAACUUCGGAAUUGCCUCUGCUACUGUCCGGCUAGAGAGUAGUUGCGGUAGGCGGAAUGUAUGGUGUAGCGGUGAAAUGCUUAGAGAUCAUACAGAACACCGAUUGCGAAGGCAGCUUACCAAGCUACUUCGGACGUUGAGGCACGAAAGCGUGGGGAGCAAACAGGAUUAGAUACCCCAGUAGUC